AAAGCGGUCAUCGUCUGCUCGACUUUUGAACAAAGCGAAAACGAUCUUGCAUCCCUGCUGUCAUAGCUCGAGCAGUUUUUCGAUCAAGUUUGGCAACUCGGUAUUUGUUUUGAUAAGUUUUCAAGCAGUUUCCGCAGAAAGAAAACAAAAAAAAAAGCAGGUCACGAUUUUUUUUGGUCAAAGGUCGGAAAACUUAACUCCGAUGGGAUGACUGGCGCCGGCGUUUUGCUACAACGAGACAAGCAGCAACUGGACCCGAAAGUGACCGGCAAGCUGCAACUUGGGGGAGAAAAAGUUCAAGUAUCUUAGCAAUCAAUCGAUGGAAAGCACCACAUCUGGGCAUUUUGGUGCGACUCCCCGGGAAGUGUAUUUUCUAACCAAGUCCAACAAUGAGCUGCGAGAGGAGAACCGGGAGUUUAAGGCGGCGGCUGUAGGGAGCAGUGUCCAACGAAACCGACGGCACAGUGGACGGUGCCGUUUGAUGUUUUUUCCGGGUGUUUAAGCAAACUAGCUCCCAAAAAAUGACGCCGACGAGCGGCUUAGCGUGUGGCUUGUCUGGACCACAACAUAGGCGAGUUCUGCUGUAACCUAUAAGGGAAACCGGUGCCGUUGGAGUGGACAGGUCAAUUCAGGAAAAUGGAAAAUGCGCCACAGUUUGACACAUUUGGCGAGAAGAAGAGUAAUAAAGUUCUAGGUGGAGUUUCGGA
rnacentral:lncRNA from 1 species